rnacentral:sRNA from 1 species
GAAGCCUCUAUGGUGGCGGCGUGGGCGCCCA